rnacentral:tRNA from 1 species
UUUGUUGCUUCGGAAGCAAAGGAUUUUGAAAGUCUUAACUAGAUGUUCGACUCAUCUACACAC